rnacentral:rRNA from 1 species
UAUUGGUCAAUGGCCGCAGGGCUGAACCAGCCAAGUCGCGUGAGGGAUGACGGUCCUAUGGAUUGUAAACCUCUUUUGUUAGGGAGCAAAGGGCGCCACGUGUGGCGCUUUGCGAGUACCUGAAGAAAAAGCAUCGGCUAACUCCGUGCCAGCAGCCGCGGUAAUACGGAGGAUGCGAGCGUUAUCCGGAUUUAUUGGGUUUAAAGGGUGCGCAGGCGGAGGCACAAGUCAGCGGUAAAAUCGCGGGGCUCAACCCCGCUCCGCCGUUGAAACUGUGUCCCUUGAGUGCGCGAAGGGUAGGCGGAAUGCGUGGUGUAGCGGUGAAAUGCAUAGAUAUCACGCAGAACUCCGAUCGCGAAGGCAGCCUACCGGCGCGCAACUGACGCUCAUGCACGAAAGCGUAGGUAUCG